rnacentral:rRNA from 1 species
AACGAACGCUGGCGGCAGGCUUAACACAUGCAAGUCGAGCGCCCCGCAAGGGGAGCGGCAGACGGGUGAGUAACGCGUGGGAAUCUACCCAUCACUACGGAACAACUCCGGGAAACUGGAGCUAAUACCGUAUACGUCCUUCGGGAGAAAGAUUUAUCGGUGAUGGAUGAGCCCGCGUUGGAUUAGCUAGUUGGUGGGGUAAUGGCCUACCAAGGCGACGAUCCAUAGCUGGUCUGAGAGGAUGAUCAGCCACACUGGGACUGAGACACGGCCCAGACUCCUACGGGAGGCAGCAGUGGGGAAUAUUGGACAAUGGGCGAAAGCCUGAUCCAGCCAUGCCGCGUGAGUGAUGAAGGCCCUAGGGUUGUAAAGCUCUUUCACCGGUGAAGAUAAUGACGGUAACCGGAGAAGAAGCCCCGGCUAACUUCGUGCCAGCCGCCGCAGUAAGAC